rnacentral:rRNA from 1 species
ACGCUGGCGGCGUGCCUAAUAAUGCAAGUCGAGCGGAAGAUGGGAGCUUGCUCCCUGAUGUUAGCGGCGGACGGGUGAGUAACACGUGGGUAACCUGCCUGUAAGACUGGGAUAACUCCGGGAAACCGGGGCUAAUACCGGAUGCUUGUUUGAACCGCAUGGUUCAAACAUAAAAGGUGGCUUCGGCUACCACUUACAGAUGGACCCGCGGCGCAUUAGCUAGUUGGUGAGGUAAUGGCUCACCAAGGCGACGAUGCGUAGCGAACCUGAGAGGGAGAUCGGCCACACUGGGACUGAAACACGGCCCAGACUCCUACGGGAGGCAGCAGUAGGGAAUCUUCCGCAAUGGACGAAAAUCUGACGGGACAACGCCCCGUGAAUGAUGAAGGUUU